rnacentral:lncRNA from 1 species
UUCUCGGCAGCCCGGCUGGGCUCGGCUCCGGCCUAAGGCUGGGCACUCCGCUGCCGCUGCAGACUUGCAGGUGUGUCCUAAGAGCCUUGGGGUCCUGGAGGCUCCGCGAACCCUCGAGCUCCUCCGGGCUUGCCCAGUUCUUCCUGGCUCCUUCGUAGCUGUUCCAGUCCUAAGGAAACUCCUGGCUGUCGCGUUCCCCAGAGCCACGACUUUGUGGGGCCUAGGCUAGGGGGGAGGAGGAAUUCUGCCCAGACUCUCCAGCAGUUGGUAGCAGGCAAGCUUUCUCCUGUGUCGCCUGGAAAAGUUGCAAAAUUGCUCUUCACCUGUAAGAACAUGCAUUUUAUCUUCCAGUCUCUUCUUGUCAAUUUGGAAAUUGCAGACACCCCGGCUCAGAUGUUUAUCUACAGAUUAAACAUUUAAAUUGUGGGUGUAUGUAUAUUAUACCAUCACCUCUAGACACUCAGAAGAAGAGGAUUUCAGCUUACGAAGCCUUCUGUCUUACCAGGGCUUGUCUUUGCUCGUGAUACUGUGUCAGGAAGCAGAAGGGUCAUGAACUUGUCGUCGUCGUCAUCAUCAUUGUCAUCGUCAUCAUCAUCACCAUCACCACCAGCAGCAGCAGCAGCAGCAGCAGCAGCAGCAAGAUUUUGUGUUGGGAAGGUACUUCCAAAUGCUACAGGGGACAGAAGGUCAUCAGC